rnacentral:lncRNA from 1 species
CGAUGAUGGAGCCUCAAAAUCGAUGAUCGGUAUCGUUGAACAUGAUUUAUACUAUUUGAAGUAAUUAGAAAUUAAAUUUCAAACACUUUCAAUAUUAUUCUCUUAUCCAUCGAGUGGACACAAAAAUGAACGGCUGAAAAUUCUUAAAAAAAUAAUGAUAGGAGUCUUGUAAUCAAGAUCAAGAGUAUAGAUCUUGUUUAAAUAGUUUAAAAUAUUUUCUAAUAAAAAUUUAAUUGAUUUGGAUAUUUUUACGCCGUUAAACGAGAAAACGCCUCUUAUCGACCAUUAAAAUUACAAAUUUUGAAAUCCUUUGAUCAUUAGACAAAUAAUGUCAAAAAUUUUUGAAAUUUGAUUUCUAAACAAUUCAAGUGGUAUAGAUCAUGUUCAACGGUGCCGAUCGUCGAUUUGGAGACUUUAUAAUGGAAAACAAAUGGGUGGCAAAAGUAUCGAUUUGCUAUCGAUAGUAUUCUAGCUCAACUCUCUCUCUCUCUCUCUCUCUCUCUCUCUAUAUAUAUAUAUAUAUAGUUGAGCUAGAAUUCUCUCAAAAUCACCAAUGGGGUGGUGCUUGUGAGUUUUUAACUAUUGAAUUGAAAGAUGUGAGGUUGAGAUAAUGGUGGUAAGUGGUGAUCGACUAGUGAAAUUGUGUUUGAUCCAAGGGCUAUUAAUAAUUAAGGAGUAGAUCCAAUGGCUAAAAAUCUAAUAGCACCAUUGGGGUGAUACUUCUAAAAGUAUUCUAACUCAAUUAUAUAUAUAUAUAUAUAGAGAGAGAGGGAGAGAUAGAGAGAGAGAGAGAGUUUUGCUAGAAUACUAUCGGUAGUAAACGGCUCGGUUUACUACCGAUUUGUUUUCGAUAAUAGAGCUUCCAAAUUGAUGAUCGGCAUCGUUAAACAUGAUCUUAACCAUUUAAACUAUUUGGAAAUCAAAUUUCACACAUUUUCGAUAUUGUUCUCUUGUCCAUCAAGUGAACAGAAAAAUAAAUGGUUGGAAAUGAAUAUCCUUCAAAAAGUGAUGAUACAAUUUUUGUAUUUGAGCUCUAGAGUCUAUAUCUUAUUUCAAAUAGUUUAAAGAAUUUUUCAACAAAAAUUUAAUUAAUUUGAACUCUUCUAUACCGUUAAAUGGGAAAACGCACCAUAUCGACCAUUAAAAUUAUAGAUUUUGUGACCCUUUGAUCGUUUAGUUAGUGAUGCCAAAAAAUCAUGAAAUUCGAUUUCUAGAUAAUUUAAAUAGUUUAGAUCAUGUUCAACGAUACCGAUCGUUGAUUUGGAAGCUCUAUCAUAAAAAAUAAAUCGGUAGUAAACCGAGCAGUUUACUACCGAUAGUAGUCCAAUUAAACUAUAUAUAUAUAUAUAGUGAAGCUACUAUGCUUCUUGAAGUACAGAGCCUUCGUUGCUUCCAGCUUGUUUUUGAUGUUGCAACUUUUCGAUAUCAUUUGUCUGGUGAACUAUGGGUGGCAAAAGAGCCGGUUUGCUAUCGAUAGUAUUCUAGCUCAACUAUAUAUAUAUAUAUAUACACUAAUUGAGUUUAUAAUUUAUUGUAAAUCAAUAAAAAUUGCUAUUAAAAAUUAAAUUUAAUUCACGAUUGAACUCAAAUUUAAAUUUUAUUGUAGAAUGAAUGUAUAGAAGUAUUUUUUUUAACAGAUUGAUCAUAACCGUUUAUUUUUAUUUUUAAUAUUUUUAACCAAUUAAUCGUACUCGUUAGUAGAAUUAAAGUUNUUCACGAUUGAACUCAAAUUUAAAUUUUAUUGUAGAAUGAAUGUAUAGAAGUAUUUUUUUUAACAGAUUGAUCAUAACCGUUUAUUUUUAUUUUUAAUAUUUUUAACCAAUUAAUCGUACUCGUUAGUAGAAUUAAAGUUACAGAUAAGUAUAGAUAUUUUUUUUUAACAAAUUAGUCAUAAUCGUUCAUUCUUAUUUGAGAUAAUUUUUUUCAAAUUAACCAUAAAUUUGUACAUCAUAUUAAUUCAAAAUUAUGAUUUACAAAUUUAUCAACCAAUAUAUUUUUUAAAUUAUUUUUAUUGUAAUAUAUUGAUAGUUCCAAAAUUUUAAAUUGUAAAUUAAUUUUAAAAUUUGAAUUGAAAUAUAGAUUUACAGUAGAUAUUCUGGCAAAAAUUUGUAUAAGUAUAUUUUUUAUUAUCUCUCUACUAAUUUUUUUUCAUUAAGUCAGUGGCAAAGUUAAAACUAAAAGAUAGUAAAGUGAAUAUCCGAUAAAUCUAGAUAGGAUAUUUAAAAUUUUUUUGUAUAUAAUUUAACGAAAUGUUAACGGAGGAGCCGGAGAAAAAUGAAAUCAUAUUAACGGAGUAUAAUUUUUAUUAAAGUGAAUACUUUUUUAUU